rfam:Lactococcus lactis subsp. cremoris TIFN6 scaffold25.1_10, whole genome shotgun sequence.
UAGUAAUACUCCUUUGUGAGUGUUUUUAAAUAGGCAUAGAGAAAAAUCUUUUGCGAGGAAUUUCUCUAUGUUUUUAUUAUAACA